rnacentral:lncRNA from 1 species
GCAAACAAAUCAAGUUGAAUUAUCAAUGCACCCCCUAUAUAUUGCACCAAAGUUAAUCAACGAACAAGCAAACAAUAUUGAAUUGUAAACAAAUUGGAGAUCAUAUCGAUGGAGAAGAGAAAUUUAUCUUCCUCUUAAUUAUUUCUUCAAAUUAAAGCUUUUUUCGGCAUGUUAAUUUGCAGCCUUUUUAUGUACUCGAUCCUAACAUGAUCCUACAAACCCCCUUAAUUAGGCUUCUCUUCUCAUACCAACAAAUAAUAACAUAAUGGUAAUAAUUAAACAGAAACUAAAAUUAAGAUGAUGAUGAUGACGAUGCUGGAUUAGAAUUUUGGAGGUGAGGGGAUCGAAAGUGCCAAUGGUUGACGAUCUCUACACUUAUCAUGAACUCGGAGCUGAUCUUUUCGCCGUCGCCGUCGCCGCCGCCCCCGCCGCCGCAGUAGUAGUAGUACUAGGACUGGCACUGACACCGGUUGCUGCUGGUGGAGUAGUAGGAGAUGCCGCCGGCGCGGUGUCCUGAUGCUCGCCGGACUGGGUGGCUUCGUCGUCGUGGUCGUCGUCCUCGGCCGCGCCUUCGGACGUCCCGGCGUCCGCGGUGACGACGGGGG